UUCGUGCUUUCCCCACUUAGCCACAGGCUUUAUAGCCAAGGCCUCCUGCCCCUCCCCCAGGCUCUCUCCCUCUAUCUUUUUUUAAUUGAGUGACAGCGGGUGCUGGGGUGGGGGAAUGGAAAAUCUGGCCAUUAGUAUCCCUUAUUUAUCAGUAGGCAAAGACAGGAACCUGGCAGGUGGGUAUGGCUUGGCCUGCUCUCUUCUCCCUCUCCCUCUCAGCUCACCUUAUGUUCUCCCCUUUGUUUCCCACCCAAAUUCCCUAGCUCCACUGGGGGAGAGUGUGGAAGGGGCCCCAGGGCAGGCAUCUUGAGAUUUAGGAGGGUGGCCUUCUGAGAUUUAAACAGGAGGAGAUGUGUGUUGAAAGGGGAUGACUGCAAAAAGACUCAGGCCAUUUGCUUUGGGGGAACGUGGGUUCAGGAAAGGAGGGGUCCUGGAAGAGGUGGGAUCAAAACUGACAAUUUGGGGAGUAAGUGUGUGAGUUAUGACUCAAAAGCGGUGGGUGCUGAUUUGCCUGUUACAAAGCCAUAAUGUAAUGUCAAAUCGAUCAGGAGCCUCCCUGAGUAACAAUAGCUGCCAUUUACUUAGCUCAGAGAUUUUGAAAUAGGCCAGGCAGUGGGUUUAGGGGUUUAAAUGAAAUCAGAUGUAUGCUUGCCACAGCCAUGGGAGGCGAUGUGUAUUAUCCCAAGUUACAGGUAAACUGAGACUCACAGAAGUGUGCAGAGCCGGGAUUAAAAUGCAGGCCUUUGUACUUCAGGCCAAAUAUUCAACCUCCAUGCUAUGUGCCCUCACAGUCAGUCUUUUAUUCUUCUUAACAAAUAUUUGUUGAGUAUCUACUCUAUGCCAGGUGCUGUUUCAGGUACUGGGAAUAUGGCAAAAGAACAAAGCAAAUGAAAAUCCCUGCUGUGAUGAUUUGUGGAGCUUGAGGAACUGAACAACAAAUAAGAAAUUGUCAAAGUGAGGAAGAGUGAAGGUUUAGAAGAGGAAAGGAUGAACUAGGAUACAAUAGAAUGAGAUAUGCCACCUCCUGGGUCUGCUGUUUUACCUAGUGCCUCUCUAGCCGCUGGACGGGAGAUCUGCAGAGCCUUAUGAUCUUGUCUGUCUCCGACUCAACCAAAUCAGAGGCAAAUGGAAAAAUACUGCCUCAGAACAAAAAUGUGCACAUAAUUUGAAUGGUGGAAGCUUGGGAUACACUUGCAAAGAGAAGAGGCAGCUCCAAGUCUAUUUAGGCACAGCUCUUAAGUAACAAGAGAGGAGGGCCAAAGGCAGGUGUCCACUAGGCUGGGCUCUGAACUCGGAAGUGGGGUAAGGGGAAAGACAAGAGUCCCAGGGAGGUUGGAGACUGUGGGAUUACGGGCUCCCUUCACCCAGGAACCAAGGAGCUGGGGCAGAGGAGGAUUUUAAGGACAACUUUGGAGUUAGAGGAUAAGAGUUUGGAGUUGGGAUUCUGCCCUUUCAUGCUGAGUUUCUGCACAUGGCCAAAAAUCUCUUUAGCUUGGCUCAUGCUGUAUCAGGUGGUCGUGCUAGCCCAGGGCUUGGGACACUGCCCAAAUUAAGCUUUCUUCUAGGGCUAAGUCCUAAGCUAGAGGCAUGGGUUAGUGGCUCCAGCUUGCCUUGGGGAGGUCAAAGUAAUACCCUAGGCAUCAUACAUCUUCUUGGAGGUUCCACCUAACUUCUAGAAUUAGCUGGUAAUGAAUAAAAUUGGUAGCAAAUAUUACAA